rnacentral:rRNA from 1 species
UUCCAGUUCAAAGUAGACUACGAGCAAGUUAAGCAGCUUCCCACCGGCAAGUCCGUCUUCUCCGAUGCCGUAUCCGCCGGUGGGCACCUGUGGAGGAUUGAGUGCUUCCCGCGUGGGGUGAACGAGGCCGACAGGGAGUGUGUUUCUAUCUUCCUCGAGCACAUGAGCAAAUCCAAAAGUGUUGGGGCAUUCUUCGAGGUCUUGAUGAUGGGCAGGGACGGCAAACCAUGCCUGUCACAUAUACGUAGGGCAUUUGAAACCUUUGAGAUCACGGAAGACGGCGACACCUUUGGAUGGCAUCAGUUCGUGAAGGGGACUGUUGUGGAGAAAGAUUACUUGGCAGGGAGACACGUCACGUUUGUGUGCGCGAUCAUGGUCGUCGAUGACAGUACUAUUCUCAGUCCUAUUCUCGUCCCAUCUUCAGACAUCGGGACCCAUCUUGGCCGUCUGCUAGACCAUGCUGACGGGACGGACGUGUCAUUCGUCGUCGACGAUGAGACAUUCCGUGCACACCGAGCGGUGCUUGCUGCCCGCUCGCCGGUGUUUAGAGCAAAGCUCUUCGGUUCCAUGUCUGAGGCUACAAUGCCAUCCAUCACGCUGCACAGCAUCAAACCCGCAACAUUCAAAGUUAUGCUUCAGUUUAUUUACACGGAUGAAUUGCCCGAGGAAGACGAGCUUCAGGACUCUUCUGCCCAGAUGUUUCAAGAUCUACUCGCUGCGGCCGAUCGGUAUGCACUGGACCGACUGAAGAUUAUUUGUGCUCAGAAGCUGUGGGAGAAAGUGUCUGUUGAGACAGUUGCAACUAUCUUGGCUUGGGCUGAAACCUACAACUGUCAGCAGUUGAAGAAUAAGUGCAUUGUCUUCUUUGUGGUGGAGGAAAAUUUCAGGAAGGUCAUGUUCACUGAUGGUUAUGGGUUGUUGCUUUUGAAAUUCCCAGCUAUUAUUGCUGAGCUAAGGAAGAGAGUUUAG